rnacentral:rRNA from 1 species
AACGAACGCUGGCGGCAUGCCUAACACAUGCAAGUCGAACGAGAUCUUCGGGUCUAGUGGCGCACGGGUGCGUAACGCGUGGGAAUCUGCCCUUUGGUUCGGAAUAACAGUUGGAAACGACUGCUAAUACCGUAUAUUCCCUGAGGGGGAAAGAUUUAUCGCUAUAGGAUGAGCCCGCGUUAGAUUAGGUAGUUGGUGGGGUAAAGGCCUACCAAGCCUGCGAUCUAUAGCUGGUCUGAGAGGAUGAUCAGCCACACUGGGACUGAGACACGGCCCAGACUCCUACGGGAGGCAGCAGUGGGGAAUAUUGGACAAUGGGCGAAAGCCUGAUCCAGCAAUGCCGCGUGAGUGAAGAAGGCCUUAGGGUUGUAAAGCUCUUUCAGUAGGGAAGAUAAUGACGGUACCUACAGAAGAAGCCCCGGCUAACUUCGUGCCAGCCGCCGCGGUAA